rnacentral:lncRNA from 1 species
ACCCAGUCUCAGAUAUGUCUUUAUAGCACCAUGAGAACAAACUAAUAUAUCACGUAGCUAGAUUCUGGCCAUUGGGAGAUAAGCAGAACCGCUGUAUGAAAUUUCCAGGGAAGCCUUCUAAAUGGAGCUGACUCAACUGAAAACUGUGAAACCUACAGGUUGCAGAAGAAAAUGGCUGGUGGAAAUGCAGCAGGAAGAAUAACAUGGUUCUGAAACCAGGCUGUCCUGGUUGACGUUUCCUGCCCAUAAGGCCAUCGAAAGGUGGGCAUCUCCUCACGUGGCUGCUGCUAGUGACGGACCUAGU